AUUGAAUAUUUUCCUAUUAGAUUAAAAAAUUGAGCUUCUAACUCAAAAUUAAUGGGUUAUCCAUUUUAAUC
rnacentral:tRNA from 1 species